GCAGGAACAGAGAGAGGAGGAAGAUGUAGGAGAAAGGGAGAGGGCAGCCCAUCUGGGAGGAUAUGCUGCCCUACACUCCAUACACUCCCUAUAGCUGUUGGAAAAGGAGUGGACAAAUUGGAGGCCUGUUUCCAGCAAUAGAACUGUCUCCAUUUAACCCACGUGGGUGUUAGGUGUGUUUGUGUCACACACUCACACCCAUGUGCCUACAUUCUGCAAGCUUCCAAAUUAGCCUUGGGCCCAUCUCUCUCUGCUCCCAUUGCCCGAUGUACCAAAAGCUCCGGGAAGAUAUCACUCCUUUCAUCACCAUCACCCAGUUUACUCUGCGCCCCCACGGGCAGGAGCGCAGCCACCUGCUGCUUCUCUCCUACCGCCCUGGGCGGACCCUGGGUGGGAGCACCAGUGCAGUAGUCCCAGUCUGUGGUUGGGGGAAGCCCGAACCUCCUAAUAAAGGACAUUCCCUUCCUCUCCAGUCUGUCGCCCCUCCCUUGUCUCCCUCUGCAAUGACUGCCCCCUCCUCAAUUUCACUGUUCUCUCCCCAACCCCCCUUCCCCCAUUUUGGCCACAUUUAGCCAGCCAAGGUUGGCGGGGGUGUGGGGGGAGAGGUGGCGGACAGAGGCAGAACAUGAGGUGGAGAGGAUAGAGGAUAAGACUGCUUUAAUGUCCUCUGCUGCCCUACCUGCCCUCUCCCCUUCCCGAUUUAGGGGUGAGGAUUUGCCGCCACCCCCCUUAGCCUAAAAGAAUAAGAGAAAAGGAGAGGGGUGGCAAGAGAAGGGAGGAGAGAGGAAAGGAACCUACAAGAUCUUGAGGCCAUGAGCCCGCCCCCUCCUACAUCUCCCCCUCCUCUUGGCUGACGGCUGCCGCAGCUCCAGCUAACAGGCGUCAGCGUGGGCUCCCCGGAGUGAGUCGCUAGGUAACGGAGCUCCGCAGACCGAGAAGUGGGGAAGCCCGAGCUGCUCGUCACCCUGAAGGCAGGAGGGGGCGCAGGAACCACCCCUCUUCCGCGCCCUCCUUCUCCAACCAGGCACUCCCGAAUUGCCCCCACCUCAGAUACGCGCGUGUACACACACACACACACACACACACACACACACACACACACACGCACACACACACACACACACACACACACGCACACUCACACAUGCACAUACACAGAGACAUGCCCUCUUUCCCCACCUUUCUCCCGAUGCACUGACCUGCUCCGCUCCCCUACCCCUCUGGAGAGAAGGCAAGAGGGGACCCUCCACCCACCCUAUCCCCAUCCCGGUGGUUGGCGGGGGGAGGACUCCUGACAUUGCAAACCAUCUCCCAAGCCCUCUGGCAUCCACAGCUCUGCCUGUUCCCCCAACUUAGUUGGGCCCGCGGAAGCUGAAGUGCUCGCUCCUGCUUCUUUUGGUGCCUCUACUGCUGCCGCCGCCGCCUUUUACUGCUGCUGCUGCUGCCGCCGUUGCUAUUGGCGUCGGUAAGAUGGUUCCCAAAUUCCUUUAAUGGAUGUAGGUUGUUGGCGCACCCCGGAGAAGCUACCAUAUGAACUCGCCGCGUGGGAAAGUUUUCGGUGUUUUCUGAAGAUUGCCGGGUCAUCAGAAAACCUAGGAGUCCUCAUGGGUGGGGAUGGUUUUCUUAGGGCCACUCUUCUUUGCCUUCUAAGGCCUCCCCGCCCACCCUUUCUCUAUCCACUCUAGGACCGUAGUCAGUGCCUGGGCUUCAAUAAGGUCUCUGUCUUUUGCUUCUCCAAAGUCUGUGUGAUGACCCGAGAAGCUGGGCAUGAAGAUCCCCUGGGAGCAGCAGGGAAAUGGUAGUGCUGAGCUGAGACUUCACUGGAGGAAAAAUCUUUCCAGGAGAAGGAAAUGAAUUGAGCUCUAGGGAUCUGGCGCCCAAUGGCCGUCUGAAGCCCGCUGAAAACUUGUCGCUUUGUCCAGGAGAAUGGUGCUGAAGACGCCUGCCCAGUUCACAGGAUACCUGGAUGCCAUGCUCAGCUCAAUGUCUGCAGAAUGCUCCCUGCCCCUCUCCUCUUCCUGAUGCACUGCAUGGUUAGCCUAAGGAGGAGGAUAAAGACAUUGGCCACCAAGAUGGUAAUCACUAGUGGUAAUGAAGAAGAUAGAGGCAGACAAGAAAAGGAAAAUAAAGAAGAAAGUAUCCUAGCCAUGCUAGGAAUUAUUGGGACUAUCUUAAACCUCAUUGUCAUCAUCUUUGUAUAUAUUUAUACAACUUUGUGAAGGGCAGAGCAGGAGGGAUCUUUCUGCUGAGACACCACAGACUCCUACAGAGAAAGAAAUGGGCUGCUAAGUGAAGCCUAAGCACUGUAGCUAUCCACAUCCUGCAAGAUCAGAUGGUCCUUUGAACUCUUCAAACAAGUUAUCAACAGAAUGCACCAAUCUGCAAAUAGCAGAACAAAAGCACAAUGUAUUCAGUGAAACUGGUCUGAGCAGCAUCAAAAAAAACCCCUUCUGUGUGAGGAUGGGCCACAGCAGAAGGCUCAUGGAAUUAAUGGUGUCAAGCAGAACAGUUCUUUAACACAGCAGAAAAGAGAAGAGCAUAUCCAACAUAGGACUAUGUGGACACAGAUUGUGUCCUCUCAAAAAUCAACAUUGUCUUCAUCACUGGUCAAACUUUUUGAGCUUCUUUGCCCCAUAACUGAGGAGCCCAUAUAGUGGGGGUAAAUUUGUAGCAAUUACUUAUCAACAAUCCCAUUAAUGCCAUGUAUCUCAGCCUUUGAUACUGAGAGGAGGGGGGAAUAAUUUAUUUUUCUUUUUUCAUUGGCCUGACAUAUGUAUCAGUUCAUGCUGAUGUUUACAAAUCUCUAUUUUUAAUAAAUAUGUUAUUUUCUUUUAGCAUGGACCAAAUAUCUGGAGAGGUCCCCUUGGAUGUCCAAAGCUUGAUUUGGUUUUCUGAAAUGAUCCCUUGAUGAUAAGUGUCCCUUCCUCUAGAAGUUAUGACUAUUUAUUGCCUCUCUAAUAUCUUUUACUUCUUCUGUUCCAAACCACUUUUAUACAGUAUCAACCUCAGCUUUGGUUAGUGCAUGACUUCAGAUGAAACAGUCUAUGGUGAGGUUUUUUGUGGAACUGUCAGAAAUAUGAAAAUAUCAUGGGCAUACAGAUCUGAGAUGCAUGCUAUCUUGACUGAGGAUUAUGCAUGAACAAGGCCUGUGUGGUGGGUCAAUCAGAGACAAAACUGAAGAUUGGUUGGAGAGACAUGACAGUAUUUGAAAAUCCUAUCUUUAAUUGAGCUUUUUAAAAAAAAAAAAAAGAGGGAGUACCCACAUAGAAACUCCAAUUCUUAAUAAUUUACAAUUCUGUCAUUGCAACAAUCAGUUUAUCAUAUCAUGAUUUAAAUUGCAAAUGCACUGAGAUAAGUCAGUCAGAUGUGCCAGGAAAAUACAAGAGAAAAUGGCAAAAGGAAAUAGGCAAAUUUUUAAAUGGAGGUAGUCAGCCAGACCCUGCCAAUAAUCUCCCUGAGAGGUCUCUACACACCAUGGGGCAUAUAUUAACUCACUCAGGGGACCAUUUACAUAAAUGACUCCUCCAUUGCAUUAAAUGGUACCCACUAAUGCCCUGACAUACACUUGUAAAAUGCCUGAUUUCACACCCCAAAAGCUUGUUCUCUGACAGAAUUUGGAUAUAUUUACACCAGUUGAUCAAUCUCUUCUAGUAUAUCAAUGCCUCCCUAAGAAUAGCAUCUCACCCUCCCCUAAGACUGACCUUCUGUGUAAGCAAAAUUGGCAAUCACUUACAUAGUGAAAUUUUCAGGGAGCAAAGAAGUCCUCCUGCCCCAAAAUACCUCAUCUAGCACAUGAGACAUGCCUGCUAUUCUACCAUGGAAGACAGUUUUUCCUUUGGAUUCUUUCCCUAGGCUAGAUUUUUUUUAAAUGUAAAUGCCUUGGAAUUUUCACACAUGGAAGGGAUUGAACUAAACAAUCCCUUACUCUAAGAUUCUAUGAUUCAGUCUUCAACUAAUUCAUACUAAGAUGUUAGUGACUUUUCUCCUAACAAGUGCCUGGGUGAUAAAAAACAAACAAACAAAAAAGAUGAAAACAAAAAAAAAAACAGCAACAAUAAUAAAAAAAAAUCCAACCUCCAUUACCAAGAAAAGGCCUAGAAAGGGGAUGUGACAGGCUUAAAAGACAAACUUCACCUACUUCACAAUUUUACCAAGGGCUGACUCUCCUCACCCCAAACUUCCAACCCAAACCCAGGGAAUAAUAUAAAUGUUGAAAGAAUAGCAUGCAAAUCAGCAGCAGUAUUCAUAAAGACUGAUAAGGAAUAGGACUGAAUGAGAAGAGGAGGGACAUGUAAUAUGGUUAUGGAAAGUCUAUGUAAAAAUGCUGGAUAGCAAACUACAGUAAAAAAUAAAUAAAGGUGCAAUGGGAAAAAAUAA